CUACGGGUUGCUCCAGUGGGGAAUAUUGCACAAUGGGCGCAAGCCUGAUGCAGCAACGCCGCGUGAGGGAUGAAGGCCUUCGGGUUGUAAACCUCUUUUAGCAGGGAAGAAGCGAAAGUGACGGUACCUGCAGAAAAAGCACCGGCUAACUACGUGCCAGCAGCCGCGGUAAUACGUAGGGUGCAAGCGUUGUCCGGAAUUAUUGGGCGUAAAGAGCUCGUAGGCGGUUUGUGACGUCUGCUGUGAAAAUCCAAGGCUCAACCUUGGACUUGCAGUGGGUACGGGCAGGCUAGAGUGCGGUAGGGGAGAUGGGAAUUCCUGGUGUAGCGGUGGAAUGCGCAGAUAUCAGGAGGAACACCAAUGGCGAAGGCACAUCUCUGGGCCGUAACUGACGCUGAGGAGCGAAAGCGUGGGGAGCGAACAGGAUUAGAUACCCGUGUAGUC
rnacentral:rRNA from 1 species